UACGUAGGGGCGAGCGUUGUCCGGAAUCAUUGGGCGUAAAGCGCGUGUAGGCGGCCCGGUAAGUCCGCUGUGAAAGUCCAGGGCUCAACCCUGGGAUGCCGGUGGAUACUGUCGGGCUCGAGUCCGGAAGAGGCGAGUGGAAUUCCUGGUGUAGCGGUGAAAUGCGCAGAUAUCAGGAGGAACACCAAUGGCGAAGGCAGCUCGCUGGGACGUGACUGACGCUGAGACGCGAAAGCGUGGGGAGCAAACAGG
rnacentral:rRNA from 1 species